UAUAAGAUGUUUGAUUUUAGAUCGAUUUUUGAAUUGAUCGAUCAUUAUAAAUUGGUACAAUGAGCCAAUUGAGUAGUUUUCAUAAUUUUUACUAAGAAUGUCUUUAAAACAACAAUAUAACUUAUUAUUCGUAUAAAUCUUAAGUUACUUCAUUAAUAUUUAUGUACAUUCUCUUACAAAGUUGUAAGUUUUAAGUUUUACUAAUUUAAUAGAGAAUUCAAUAAAAUCGUGUUAAGUAAGUUUAUUUUGAGAUUCGAAGCAUAAUUCUCAAUGAAAAUGAAAAUCUUAACAUCCAUAUCGAUGCCAAAUCAUUUAAAAGUAUGUUAUUUGAUUUCGUGUCUAGUACCGUGUUCAAAAUAUCAUAGUCGUGUACAAUAUCUCGUGCACACUUGAACAUGUUCUUCAAUACACGACAUAGUACACGAAACCUGGUUAUCCCAAGUGCACAAAAUAGUACACAAUACCUAUAAACAGAUACACGAAACAGUACACGAAACCUAUAAACAUAAACACGAAACAGUACACGAAAGCUGUUAUUAUUUAUUAAUAUCAAGUACACAAAGUCAUACACAAAACCUAUUUCUUCAGUACACGAAAUCUAUAAAUUAGAACACAAAGACGUACACGAAACCUGACAUCAUCCAUAGUUAUCAAGUGCACGAAAUUGUACAUAAAACAUGGUUCUUCAGUACACAAAUAGUACACGAUUACAUAAUUUAAGCACAAUUUCAUCCUACAACCAACAAAAGCUCCAACAAUCCAUCCAUCCACAAUUUAAUCGUGUUUCUCCUGCUUAACACAUGUCUUAUUCUAUCAAUCCAUGAGACAUUAAACUCCAAAUAGGAUAGACUUGUCUUAUGAAACGUUCUUGAGAUCGUUCACUAACGUCGUUUCGCCGGAGGAUAUUGCGGCUAUUGGUUUGGGAGAUGUAGAGAGUGUUUGAGCAUUUCGAUUGUUGGUGGUGGUAGCCUGUAGAUAGGUGAAGGGCUACGCGUUCUCGGUUUGCAGCCUCGUGGCCGGUCGGCGACGAAAUAAACCGGCAAAGAGGGCCCACUCGUGCUUCUGUUCUAAUUUCAGCGAGAGAACAGGGGGCUUUUCUCAGCGUUUCCCUUUCUGUUCCACGGAUUUCUCGGCUGAUUGUGCGAGGAUGGCGGCGACGACGGUGGCCGGCGGAGCUCUAUUGGCGAGUUUGGAGUGGCGACGUGAUUAAGCAGAACAGCUGCUAUCCUGCUUUAACGGUUGCUGUUAAGAUAUGAUCGGAGAGGGAGCUUGGAGCUGGAAAAGGAGGGAGGGGUGGUGGUGUUCCACGGUGAUGGCGCGAAUAGGCGAGGCGGCGGCGCGACGGGGGCGGCGCGCGGCUACUGCUCUCGUGUUCUGCUGACAGCAGCUGCUACGACAGUACGACUCCCAGCUCCUGCUGCUGCUCGGCUGCUGCUGUCUUGAAGGAGCUGCUGUUGUGCCGGCAAGAGGCGGCUGAUGGUGAUCGGCGAGUUCGACAGCAGCGGUGGAAGUUGGCGGCGGCGGCUGGAGCUUGGCGAUGGAGAGAGUUUGAGCGAGAGGGAGAGAGUAAGCGAGAGAGAGCUGAGCGAGAGUGAGAGAUAGAGGAACAAAAUAAAUUUGAAAACAAGAAAAAA